CCCCACCCCCAGCGCCCAAACCCGGGGCGGGUGAGCGCGACCCUUGCAGCGACCCCUUGCCGAGCCCUGCCCGCGCGAUUACUAAGGAGACGCGGCCUCCGGCACUGCCGUCCCCGCGCCGUUUGAAAACGGAUCCAUCAGCGGGGUAUUUGGAGAUUAUUCGCACUGAAUUUUCUGCCCGCCAAGAACGAAUAGGAUUGCCAAGCCACACCACUUUUUGGAGCCCGCUUAUUCGCGCCUAUCCACCCUCUCCUGUGCCCCAGGUUCCCUGAGCACGGGAAUCCUUUCCGGGCAUGGCCAAGUUUGUUCGGUGGCUCAGAGCGGGAAGGGAAGUGCAGUUCGACACCUGUCCAGCUGCUCCGCUUGGAGAUCAAAGGCCGGCUAUGGGCUGAGCGACAGAUUUACGGGACGGUGGUACAGAUUAAGGCGAGAACCCUGCCGGUCCUGGACUCGAGUUCGCACCCAAGGAAAGCGUACAGGUCCCUGGAAGCGGGUGGAUGUCGGAGAGGCCGAGGCAGCCUGCGCUGUGGCCAGGCAGGCUUGGUGGGCUUUAGUCUCAGUAUGUGUUCUUUAAAGUCUUGACAGGUUAUUAGUAAAGGAAGGGGCACCCCAGGGUCAUGAAGAUGCUUCUCGCUCUGGCCCAAGCAUGCUGAGGCUCGCUUAUUCCUCGGCCAGGCCCAGUAAAACAGCUCAAGCACAGCCUGGAGUCUUCCCGCAUCUGCGCGGGAGUAGAGUCUGGCUUUGGGCCCCGCGUACCCCGCAGUCGUCGGGGACCAGUUCGAGGCCACGGGAAGGGUUUCCGCGGCAGGGCGCGGAGUAAAGAGGGGAAGAAGGAAUCCUCUCCGCGUGAUCAGUAGGGCGGGCUUGUGAUACUCUCACACCCAGGUUCCAGCUCAGCCCCCAAACUGCUGCCCCAAGAAAACAAGUUGGGGAGUGUGGAUUUAGACAUAACAACGGGUGUGAGCUGAUGUCCUUACAACCAAAAAUAUUGAGACUAGAAAUUCAGCUCCGAAUCCACGACCCUCAGAUUGAUGCUUAAUCGCACCCUCGACUCCAGAAAAGCUGCCGGGGACAGACAUGGACAGGUUUUGCCAAGGGUUCAUUAAAAUAGUCUGCACUGGAAUAACCGGGGUGCAAGAGAUCACGUCUUCACUCAGGGCUUUGGGGAUCCCCUCGUCGCCCCAGGUCAGUGGGUGGGGAGGAGGGCAAACUUCUGUCUUUUGUUUGUGGGUGAGGGAUGCGAAUUGUGGCAGCAGCCGAGAAAAGGGGGGAAAUUAAUUGCAGCCAAUUAAUAAUUAAUCCCCUUUAAACAGCUUUAUUAUCUCUUCUGGGCGACAGAGAUUUGUCUGAUAACCCCCUGAAGACCAAAUGUCAAGUUUAACCAAAUAGUUAUUGCUUUAUCAACCCGAGUCUGCAAAUAAAUUAAUCAAAAGCAAAUCUGUCCUUUGUGCGGCUCAUUUGCUGGUAAUGGAUGGAUAUGAAGAUUUGCCGAUAUUAUUGUCUGUCAUUCAAUCUAACAAAGUGAACAUUUAUUGCAUAUAUAUUAAAAAUUAUCCCGGAA
ensembl:lncRNA LINC00682 long intergenic non-protein coding RNA 682